rnacentral:rRNA from 1 species
CCAUGACCCUAAUCAUGCUCACGAGAAAAACCUCUAAGGUUAGGCCAUUACAACCCGUACCGUAAACCGACACAGGUAGUCGAGAAGAGUAUUCUAAGGCGCUCGGGUGAGCCACGGAGAAGGAACUAGGCAAAUUGUAGCUGUAACUUCGGGAUAAAGCUAUCCCUCCGCAAGGGGGGAUUCAAUGAAAAGGUUCAACCAACUGUUUAGCAAAAACACAGGGCCCUGCAAAAUCGAAAGAUGACGUAUAGAGCCUGAUACCUGCCCGGUGCUGGAAGGUUAAGGAAGCUUGUCAGCCGUAAGGUGAAGCUUGCGACCGAAGCCCCAGUAAACGGCGGCCGUAACGAUAACGGUCCUAAGGUAGCGAAAUUCCUUGUCGGGUAAGUUCCGACCUGCACGAAUGGUCUAAUGAGUUGAACACUGUCUCCUCCGUGAGCCCGGUGAAAUUGUAGUAUCGGUGAAGAUGCCGGUUACCCGCCACGGGACGAAAGGACCCCGUGAACCUUCACUACAACUUUGCAUUGAUUUUGAGUAACAGAUGUGUAGCAUAGUUGGGAGACUUUGAAGCAGGUGCGCCAGCAUUUGUGGAGUCAACGUUGAAAUACCAACCUUCUGUUACUUAGAGUCUAAUCCCCGCAGGGGGAGACAUUGCAUGGUGGGUAGUUUGACUGGGGUGGUCGCCUCCUAAAGUGUAACGGAGGCUCGCAAAGGUACCCUCAGUACGGUUGGUAAUCGUACGCAGAGCGCAUUAGUAGAAGGGUGCUUGACUGUGAGACUUACCAGUCGAGCAGGUGCGAAAGCAGGCUAAAGUGAUCCGGUGGUUUCCGUAUGGAAGGGCCAUCGCUCAAAGGAUAAAAGGUACUCCGGGAUAACAGGCUGAUCUCCCCCAAGAGCUCAUAUCGACGGGGAGGUUUGGCACCUCGAUGUCGGUUCGUCACAUCCUGGGGCUGGAGAAGGUCCCAAGGGUUCGGCUGUUCGCCGAUUAAAGUGGCACGUGAACUGGGUUCAGAACGUCGCAAGACAGUUCGGUCUCUAUCUGUGGUGGGCGUUAGUAAAUUGAGAGGACAUGCUCUUAGUACGAGAGGACCGGAGCGUAUGUACCGCUGGUGUAUCUGUUGUUCCGCCAGGGGCAGUGCAGAGUAGCUAUGUACAGUCAGGAUAAGCGCUGAAAGCAUCUAAGCGCGAAACCUUCCUCAAGAUGAGUUUACUUUUAAGGGCCGUGGAAGACUACCACGUCGAUAGGCUAUAGGUGUAAAGGUGGUAACAUCAAAGCCGAGUAGUACUAAUUGCCCGUAAGCUUUAAUC